rnacentral:lncRNA from 1 species
UCCAAUCCCAGUUGGCUGUCCUCAUUAAAUUUUUAACUAGUCAAACUAAUAAUAAUAUCCCAGUAAAUAAACUAGCUAUAAAUAUAAUGAUAAUAAUAUAAUAACUAAUUUUAUUAUUAACUAAUAAUAUUAUUUAAUUAUUAUUAGCAGCAUCUUUAAAACCAAACGCGCCCUUCUUCUCCCCCCCCCCACGCGUCCUUCCCGCCGCCGAAGAAAUCAAACCAUUUCCUCCUCCGUCAAUAUUCCGGUGAUCGUCGUAGUAGUCUUCCCCGACGAAUGGCGAAGAAGUCGAAGGACAACGUGAAGAAAGUGGCCUACAUCUCCGUUCCGUCACAGAUAAUCAACUCCCUCUCUUCCUCCUCUUUACCCUCUCUCCUCCUCUCCCCCCACACACCCUCCUCCUAGUGGCCUACAUCUCCGUUCCGUCACAGAUAAUCAACUCCCUCUCUUCCUCCUCUUUACAAUCUCUCCUCCUCUCCCCCAAGAAGUCCUCCUCCUCCACCUCCUCCUCAAGAAGCAAAUCCCUAGCAGCUCUGAUCAGAAGCCCCAAGCUAUGGUGUUUGGCUCUCUUCCUCUGCGGCUUUCUUGGACUGCUCAACCUCCUCUCCCUCACCGAUCCCCUGCUCCUCCCUUUCCACUCCCCUUGCUCCAUCCAGAAUCAAGCUGGUUUCCCCGGCGAGAAUGGAGUUCCCGGUGCUGUUCUUGUUAGUAAUAGUAUUGGUGGUAGUGUGAUGAGGAGUAAUGUUUCGGAAUCGGAAUCGAUGUUCUGGAAGCAGCCUGACGGGAUGG